UUAGUCCGCACUUAGUCACAUUAAAACACACAGAAAAAUACUAUUUUAGCCUUUCCUUAAUCAAAACAUAUAUUCACACUGAUAAAAAGUCAAAUAUAAAGCACUUUUCUCUCAGAAAAGUACUGUACAAAUUUAUAUUCCACUUUGGUAUUUGCAACAAAACAUGUUACAAAUAAACACAUUUAUUUUUAAUGUUUUUCUAUGUAUUUGAAUUAAUAAAACACUGUAUUCCUUCAAAACGAUACUUACCGUCAAGGUGAGACUUGCCAAGAAGCCCAGUGAAACUAAAAAGACUGAAAACAUCGCAAAAUGUAACCGGGAACCUCACGACUACUUUGCAAGAAGCCAAGAAUCUAUGCCAGCAACUACCAAAAUUUUUGUAAAUGACGUCUUGUUUUCGACCGAGAAGGAAGGAGAGAACUGAGCCGAAUCACGAGUUAGACGCAAUGUUACAUACGUCACUUCCGGAUAGUACGUCACACUCACUGAGCUAUACAGGAACCAGGUAAUAUUAUAGCUCAGUGGUCACACUAUUG